rnacentral:rRNA from 1 species
UACGAAGGGGGCUAGCGUUGCUCGGAAUCACUGGGCGUAAAGCGCACGUAGGCGGAUUGUUAAGUCAGGGGUGAAAUCCUGGAGCUCAACUCCAGAACUGCCUUUGAUACUGGCGAUCUCGAGUCCGGAAGAGGUGAGUGGAACUGCGAGUGUAGAGGUGAAAUUCGUAGAUAUUCGCAAGAACACCAGUGGCGAAGGCGGCUCACUGGUCCGGUACUGACGCUGAGGUGCGAAAGCGUGGGGAGCAAACAGGG